UGUGGGAGCGGGCUUGCUCGCGAUAGCUUCAGGUCAGCAGCAUUGAUAUUGACUGACACACCGCUAUCGCGAGCAAGCUCGCUCCCACA
rnacentral:misc_RNA from 1 species